GGCUAGCAGGUAAUAUGAUCACAUUCUCUCUAAUAGAAGAUACAACCAGAGAAUUGGUCGAAUUUUGACACUGGUUAAACCCUUGCUUCUAAAUAAGAAUGUAUUCAUGAGAAUUAAACUAUGGAACUAGGAUUAGAUACCCUACUACCACUAAAAGUAAACAGAAAAAUGCCUGGGGAUUACGAACUUUUACGUUUAAAACCUAAAGAGCUUGGCGGCUCCGCACAAGUCCAGGGGGGCCUGUCGCAUAAUCGAUAAUCCGCGUAAAUUUUUACCUUUCUUAGAAACUUCAGCUCGUAUACCCCCGUAGUGUUAACCUUAAAAAGAAGAAAAGUUAGCAAAAGAAAAUACCUUUAAUAGCUCAGGUCAAGGUGCGGCUUAUAGAAAGGAAGUUAGAUUUGCCACGUUUAUUUUAUAAUUGGAUUUUGUUCAAGAAAUGAACCUAAAAAACAGUACUUGGAAGUAAUUUUUGUUUAAAAAGCAAAAGUGAAAAUCUUACCUGCAGAGUGUACAAAUUGCCCGUCAAUCCUCCCGUUUUAGGAAGGAUAA
rnacentral:rRNA from 1 species